rnacentral:misc_RNA from 1 species
GAAACUUUUGCAACACCGAAAUCAGAAACUUUCGCUUCAUACUCCUCAUCAAGUAGAAUGUUUGUUGACUUGAUAUCUCUAUGAAUAAUAGGAGGGACACAAUCAUGGUGUAAAUAAGCGAUUCCCUUUGCAGUUCCAACUGCAAUUUUAUACCUCUGGUACCAAUCUAAUUCUGUCUUCCCAUCCUUGACUUCCCGGUGUAAUGCCUCGAACAAAUUACCAUUUGGCAAGUACUCGAAAACCAACAUCUUCGAACGUUCUCUCAUUAGACUGGCAUACAGUUUAACUAUAUUUCUAUGCCUGAUCUUUCCUAGAAUGUCUAUUUCCCUUGUCAAAACUUUCACCUCAUUUCCUUUCCAAAGCUGCUUUACUGCCACUGUGCCACAACCUUUCUUCAAAUCUAACCGAUAAACUUUUCCUGUGCCUCCACUUCCUAUCAGCUUGUCCUCACCAACGUCACAUAUUUCAUCUACAUCAAGUUCCACAUGUUGGAAGCUCUCAAGCUUCCAUUUUGGAUUCAUUCCAUUUGCAUGUCCCAGACACUUUUCGGAAUCAGCUUCAGCGUUGCACUUGUACUUCCAGUAACUCACAAGCAUGAAAACACACAUUAGAACAGCCAAAGAAAGUAAUACAACGCAAAACACAACUAGUUUGCUCUUCAUGAACACUUCCUGAGCAGCCUUAGCACUACAAGCACCCAUGCCUGAGUUCGUUCGGAUAUUCCUGAUGCUUUGAUCAACACAAAGCCCCUUGUUUCCUACAAAUGCUUUUUCUCCUCCCACCGUUAAAAG